rnacentral:rRNA from 1 species
UACAGAGGUCUCAAGCGUUGUUCGGAUUCAUUGGGCGUAAAGGGCGCGUAGGCGGCGGGGUAAGUCGGGUGUGAAAUCUCAGAGCUCAACUCUGAAAUGGCACUUGAUACUGCUCUGCUAGAGGACUGGAGAGGAGACUGGAAUUUACGGUGUAGCGGUGAAAUGCGUAGAUAUCGUAAGGAAGACCAGUGGCGAAGGCGGGUCUCUGGACAGUUCCUGACGCUGAGGCACGAAGGCCAGGGGAGCAAACGGG